rnacentral:lncRNA from 1 species
GCUCUUCUCGGGGAGUGGAGUGCUAUGACAGAUGAGACUUUCAUGCAAGAAAAUAAAUCCUGCACAUUUGAUGUACUGCUUUAAACUUAAAGACCUCUUUGGACCCGAAAUUGUAAGGUAAGGAGUGCUCAGCCACAAUUCUUGAACUUUGAAACUGUGAGUGUAAUUUGAGGACGCUCCUUAAAACUCUUUGUUGUUUAAUAUGAAACUCUAACAUGCUGCCUAACCUCCUGCCUUUAGGAAUAACAGCUCACUGUCAAACGUGCACGCACAGCUCUGACUUAAAAGGAAAAAACUCACCACUGUUUAAAAAAUAAAAUGUCUUCCAUAAUGAAACGGUCAUGUAGAUUUGUUGUACUUUUACACAUGUGUGGAAGUGUCCAGAAUAGACUGGGUUUUCUCUCUGCUCUCUGUAAAUCAGUAUGCUUAAAAAUGGGAUCAAAUUAUCCUUGCCAGUUGAAAGGGGGUCUGGGUGCAGGUCCAAUCCCAUAGAGAGAAAACACCAGUGCAACUGUAACCAAAUGGCAGUCCCGAUCCGCAGGACUUUAUCCUGAAUGUCGCUUCCUGCUUGCUUAGGCAUGGGAGGGGAUUAAACUCCGCCGCUACAACUUCAUUGGCACUGCUCUGUAAGAUGUGAAAAAUCUGUUGGGAUCAGGUGUUAGUGUGUACAGUCCAGUUUCCUGUGAUUGCGGCAAAUUAAAUUGGAAAGUUGAAAGUAAUUAUAGUACAGACUAGGAGCCAAGGAUUUAUCAGACAUAAAAGGAGGUAGAACAAGUUCAACAAUAUAGAAGGCAAUUAUUUGUCUAAUGUUGUUAACAAAAUCCGAUCUUCCUGUAGAAAUGUACAGGAACUUUUAAUAUUUUUGUUCAAGUCUGAUCUGCCUCCAGAGGUAGAAUACUCGAUGCUUUUAGCUAGCUCAUUGAUCUGUUCCUAAGAGGGCAUCACUGUAUAAUAUUUCUCUCUCACUGGGGAAAAUAAGAUGUUGAGUCUUCUUUUUGUGCCCUAGAGAACUUAAAAGAGAAGACGUAGAUGAUAAUCAAACUGCAUCUAUUUUCUUAAAUCUUUGUCCACAUGUUCCUACUCUCCUCCUUUGCCUUUAUCAGAUAUACAGGGACUAAGUUAAUUGUUACUUCCCCUGAGAUCUCCAAACCCUCACUGUACCCUUUUCACAGAGAGCACCAAUCUGCAUCCAUAUCUCCCUCCACAAAAAGCAAACCAUAUUCUUGCUCCAUAUCCUUUCUCAUCCUUGAUAGGGGCUUAUAUUUCCAUGUAAGUCCCCAGGGCAUAUUCCCAUGACACAGGUUCUCUCCUACCUACAUAUUGAGUAGGUGAACCCCAAAGGACAUCCUACCUAAAAUCUGAGGGUGCAGCAGUAGUGGAGUCUUGGCCUGAAAACUCUCUCCUCCAGACAUUUUCCUUUCCAGAACUAAGCUGCUUCACCUGACUUUAGGUAUUCUCAUGGCUUUAUGCUUUGAACCACAUGACUGAUUAGCUGCGCACAGAUUAGGGUAGGUGCUCAUUCACUCUAAGGAUUAGAAUGUUGAAGCUACCUUUGUCCUGGAGGGAAGAAAAUUUCCCCAACAGGCAUGCCAUAAACAUUGUGGGGGUCUCUGGAACUGAGAGUGGCUCUCUGAGGAUUUUUCUCUUUCUCCUGUCACUCUGUUUCUUGCUAAUCUUGGCACACAUUUUAAAAAUGGCUCUAGCCGAAAGGUGAAGGUUCCUAAGGAAGGGAAGCUGGGCUGUUUACUUCAUGCAGCCAGGACACCCAGGAUGUAGGUGUGAAGAAUAGCAGUGGGCUUGGAUUAGCAUUCCAGUGUGCCAUUGCCUUACUGAAAGAGUUAUUUUUAACUUGACAACAUUUCUCCACAUCUGCAUCCAAAUACUAUGUAUGUGAGGAUAAAUAUUUAAGUAAUGUGUUAGUUUCAUUAACCAGACACGACAUCAGAGCCAUUCUCGGCAAUUUCUU